rnacentral:rRNA from 1 species
ACUCGAAAGAGUGGCUAAUACCGCAUACGCCCUACGGGGGAAAGGGGGGGAUCGCAAGACCUCUCACUAUUAGAGCGGCCGAUAUCGGAUUAGCUAGUUGGUGGGGUAAAGGCUCACCAAGGCAACGAUCCGUAGCUGGUUUGAGAGGACGACCAGCCACACUGGGACUGAGACACGGCCCAGACUCCUACGGGAGGCAGCAGUGGGGAAUUUUGGACAAUGGGGGAAACCCUGAUCCAGCCAUCCCGCGUGUAUGAUGAAGGCCUUCGGGUUGUAAAGUACUUUUGGCAGAGAAGAAAAGGUACCUCCUAAUACGAGGUACUGCUGACGGUAUCUGCAGAAUAAGCACCGGCUAACUACGUGCCAGCAGCCGCGGUAAUA